CAUUCUUCCAAAGUUUGAGAUAAUGUCAAUAAAUUUGUUGAAGAAGAAUUCAUUAAGAUAGGCCUAGUAACUGUCCACAUAAAGUAUUGUAAUUUUUCAUUAUGAGCCCGUGCAGACUCAAUAAUAAACCAUGGUUCAGAGGCCAGUUUAGGAUCCUGUAAGAUAUAUAUGUGCCUAAUAAUAUUUGCAUAAUAACUAUAGAUAAUACUAGGAAAAUUUAGACUGCCAUUAGUCAAUUUUUUAGUUAAAAUUUUCUGACU